GACGAACCUGACAAACGUUAUUCGGAAUUACUGGGCUUAAAGGGUGCGUAGGCGGCGCGACAAGUUGGGUGUGAAAUCCCUCGGCUCAACCGAGGAACUGCGCUCAAUACUGUCGUGCUCGAGGGAGACAGAGGUGAGCGGAACUUAGGGUGGAGCGGUGAAAUGCGUUGAUAUCCUAAGGAACACCGGUAGCGAAAGCGGCUCACUGGGUCUUUUCUGACGCUGAGGCACGAAAGCUAGGGUAGCGAAC
rnacentral:rRNA from 1 species